UCGAUUUGGAGUUUGUUGCCUAGAGUGAUGGGCUCCGAAGCUAACGCGAUAAAUCGACCGCCUGGGGAGUACGGCCGCAAGGUUAAAACUCAAAUGAAUUGACGGGGGCCCGCACAAGCGGUGGAGCAUGUGGUUUAAUUCGAUGCAACGCGAAGAACCUUACCUGGUCUUGACAUCCACAGAAUCUUGCAGAGAUGUGAGAGUGCCUUCGGGAACUGUGAGACAGGUGCUGCAUGGCUGUCGUCAGCUCGUGUUGUGAAAUGUUGGGUUAAGUCCCGCAACGAGCGCAACCCUUAUCCUUUGUUGCCAUCGGUUAGGCCGGGAACUCAAAGGAGACUGCCGUUGAUAAAGCGGAGGAAGGUGGGGACGACGUCAAGUCAUCAUGGCCCUUACGACCAGGGCUACACACGUGCUACAAUGGCGUACACAAAGGGAGGCGACCUCGCGAGAGCAAGCGGACCCCAUAAAGUACGUCUAAGUCCGGAUUGGAGUCUGCAACUCGACUCCAUGAAGUCGGAAUCGCUAGUAAUCGUGAAUCAGAAUGUCACGGUGAAUACGUUCCCGGGCCU
rnacentral:rRNA from 1 species